rnacentral:rRNA from 1 species
GAUCAUGGCUCAGGAUGAACGCUAGCUACAGGCUUAACACAUGCAAGUCGAGGGGCAGCAUGAACUUAGCUUGCUAAGUUUGAUGGCGACCGGCGCACGGGUGAGUAACGCGUAUCCAACCUACCCUUGUCCAUCGGAUAACCCGUCGAAAGGCGGCCUAACACGAUAUGCGGUUCACCGCAGGCAUCUAAUGUGAACGAAAUGUGAAGGAGAAGGAUGGGGAUGCGU